rfam:Clostridiales bacterium S5-A11 contig058, whole genome shotgun sequence.
GGGGAUGAAAUUGGCUUCGACGGGGAUUUGGAAUUCAGGUAAGCAAGCCGCCAUUGAUUCUCGGCGUAAAACGGAUCACAAACAAUAAACGACGAAAAUAAUUUCGCACUAGCUGCAUAAAAUAAGUCAGCUGCGGCCCUUAGCCUUCCCACAGGUUAACCAGCCGUUCAUUUAGUGGGACACGAAGCUCUGUAAGGUUCCAUAGCAGAGGGGGUAUUUAUGGGACUAGACCUGCCCGGUUUUGUUCAUGAGACCGGUCGGGUGACCUAAACAACCAUGGACUGAGCUUGGAGAAAGCCUUUAGGAAGACUUCUCGGACGCGAGUUCGACUCUCGCCAUCUCCACCA